GAGGCGACUGUGAUGAGUUGCACGAUUCUUAAGGUAGCUGUUGCAGUGGCACAACUGCCUGUUCUGACUCCACGUGGAGACGCCCGCUGUGCACAGGGGCCAUCUGAGUCGCC